rnacentral:rRNA from 1 species
AACGAACGCUGGCGGCAGGCUUAACACAUGCAAGUCGAACGCAUCGCAAGGUGAGUGGCAGACGGGUGAGUAACGCGUGGGAACAUACCCUUUUCUACGGAAUAGCUCUGGGAAACUGGACUUAAUACCGUAUACGCCCUACGGGGGAAAGAUUUAUCGGGGAAGGAUUGGCCCGCGUUGGAUUAGCUAGUUGGUGGGGUAAAGGCCUACCAAGGCGACGAUCCAUAGCUGGUCUGAGAGGAUGAUCAGCCACAUUGGGACUGAGACACGGCCCAAACUCCUACGGGAGGCAGCAGUGGGGAAUAUUGGACAAUGGGCGCAAGCCUGAUCCAGCCAUGCCGCGUGAGUGAUGAAGGCCUUAGGGUUGUAAAGCUCUUUCACCGAUGAAGAUAAUGACGGUAGUCGGAGAAGAAGCCCCGGCUAACUUCGUGCCAGCCGCCGCUGUAAUAC